rnacentral:precursor_RNA from 1 species
AAUAGCGUAUAUUAAGUUGCUGCAGUUAAAAAGCUCGUAGUUGGAUUUCUGGCACGAUGCGCCUGGCCCGCCGCGGUUUCGCGUGUGAGUGCCGGGUCGAAUCUGCCAUCCUUCCAGAGAACUAUUCCUACCCUUCACUGGGUCGGGGAUGGAACAUCUGGAUCUUUUACUUUGAAAAAAUUAGAGUGUUUCAAGCAGGCGACUCGCUGUGAAUACAUUAGCAUGGAAUAAUAACUUAGGACUUCGGUUCUAUUUUGUUGGUUUCUAGGACUGAAGUAAUGAUUGAUAGGGAUAGUUGGGGGUGCUAGUAUUCAGUGGCCAGAGGUGAAAUUCUCGGAUUCACUGAAGACUAACUUAUGCGAAAGCAUUCACCAAGGAUGUCUUCUUUAAUCAAGAACGAAAGUUGGGGGAUCGAAGACGAUCAGAUACCGUCGUAGUCUCAACUAUAAACUAUACCGACUAGGGAUGAGUGAACGUUGCAUUUUCGACUUCAUUCGCACCUUAUGAGAAAUCAAAGUCUUUGGGUUCCGGGGGGAGUAUGGUCGCAAGGCUGAAACUUAAAGGAAUUGACGGGAGGGCACCACCAGGAGUGGAGCCUGCGGCUUAAUUUGACUCAACACGGGAAAACUUACCAGGUCCAGACAUAGUGAGGAUUGACAGAUUGAAGAUCUUUCUUGAU